rnacentral:rRNA from 1 species
AUACGGAGGGUGCAAGCGUUACUCGGAAUCACUGGGCGUAAAGCGCGCGCAGGCGGCUAUUUAAGUUGGAUGUGAAAGCCUACGGCUCAACCGUAGAACUGCAUCCAAAACUAUUUAGCUAGAGUGUGGGAGAGGAAGAUGGAAUUAGUUGUGUAGGGGUAAAAUCCGUAGAGAUAACUAGGAAUACCAAAAGCGAAGGCAAUCUUCUGGAACACUACUGACGCUGAGGCGCGAAAGCGUGGGGAGCAAACAGGAAUAGAUACCCUAGUAGUCC